AAUGUUCAUCAGAGGAUAUAGCAGGAGCCAUCGAGCGAGCUGUCAGCAGCAGGGGUGAGGGCGGCUCUUCAGUCCACAACACCGGCCGUGAACUCCUCAAUUCCCUCAUUGAUAGCACCAGCUGGAACCUCAGCCACCACCUCAUUGAGAUCAGUACCUCUUCCGUCUUUCCCGCAACAAAACUGGAGCAGACGACAAAGUAAUCAUCGAGGGCGUGGGCCUAAGACGUUCACAAAGGAUGUGAUUUGUUUGCCCUUCUCGACAGCAUCCAUGUUCCCAAUACCUAGAGGGAUCUCUAGAAAUAGUUUGGCUGAAGCAGGCCUAAUCGGGAAGAUUUCUUUUUCAUCUGACUGGUCGGAAAUGCAGCUGAGAGGGGAGAUAACAGCUAUUUUCAGGAACAUUUAGACUUUCUGAAAACCAAAUAUUGCCAUUUGAGUACUUGGGUACAAUCAAAGGUUGCAAAAAAUUGAUGAAACCCAAGGUGACCAGGUCCUUUCCAUGGGGAGGAAAAGAGGUGGCAUCAAUUUGUUCAAACACAUGCCUGUACAUUUUGGCAGGAAUGCAGAAACCAACUCAGGAUGCACAGGAUGAAUUUCUAGAACUAUCGGAUGAUGAUUUCGAGUACUCAGUGCCACAGAGAAGGCAAUGU